rnacentral:rRNA from 1 species
UACGUAGGGUCCAAGCGUUGUCCGGAUUCUUGGUGCGUAAAGAGCUCGUAGGCGGCUCAGUAAGUCGGAUGUGAAAACUCGGGGCUCAACCCCGAGACGCCAUCCGAUACUGCUGUGGCUUGAGUCUGGUAGGGGAGCACGGAAUUCCGUGGUGUAGCGGUGAAAUGCGCAGAUAAUCAGGAGGAACACCGGUGGCGAAGGCGGUGCUCUGGGCCAGUACUGACGCUGAGGAGCGAAAGCGUGGGUAGCGAACAGG